UACGAAGGGUGCAACCGUUGCUCGGAAUCAUUGGGCGUAAAGCGCACGUAGGCGGCUUGCCAAGUCGGACGUGAAAUCCCUCAGCUCAACUGAGGACGUGCAUCCGAAACUGGCGAGCUUGAGUACUGAAGAGGAUCGCGGAAUUCCCGGUGUAGAGGUGAAAUGCGUAGAGAUCCGGAGGAACACCAAAGGCGAAGGCAGUGUCCUGGGGAGUACCUGACGCUCAGGUGCGAAAGCCAGGGGAGCGAACGGG
rnacentral:rRNA from 1 species